GAACUCCCGGACCGCGAGAUCGUGACCUGGCUGAAGUCGGAUGCUUAACCGACUGCGCCCCCCAGGCGCCCCAAAUGGACCUUUUUCUAAUUAGGAACCUAAUUUUAAGAAUCCACAGGAGAUGAAUUUUUUUCUGAAUUACAGAUCAUAAAAUCAUCGUCCGUUGGCCAGUGUUGGUCAGAAAAGAGAGUCUCUUGUGCGAGGACGUGUGAGCUGAAACGGAACGACGUCAGUGUGGGUCCGGCGCUCAGCUCGGUUGUACCCAAUUGUACACCAAAGUGCCUCUCUCUGUCUCGGGGACUCCCCGCACGGAUGCGCCCUUAGCUUCUGCUUCUGAACUGACCGCGAGGAGGAGACGCCUCUGCGGAAGCCCGGGGCCUCUCCAGACUUCGGGCAAGAUGACGUCAUAGCUAAUGGUGGGCGGGCUUCUUCACACACACACACACACACACACCCCGUCUCCCUUGCUGUCCCUUGUCACGCUUGACCGUCCCUGGGAGGAAAAGCAGGCAGCACACUGUCUGGAGUCACUGCCGGGACCACCUUCCUCGUGGAACGUGAGUGUGUUUUCUUUCCCACGAUUUCUGUCCUCCCACCGGCCUCUGCGUCUCCUCCGGGGCAGAGCUCUGCAAGCUUCGGGGGAAAGGUCGGGACGUCCUUGGGCGGCUUCCCACCUCAGAGCCUUUUUCUUUCCCCUGCCCCUGUUCUGGUCCUCGCCGAGCAAUCGUCCUACGGCCCGGUUGCCCGGGACCGGGGCUGGAUGUGUGAGACAGAAGGAGCGGCCGCCCAGGGUUACGGCGGUCGAGGCAAGACUCCUGUUCCCUCAAAAAAGCCCGGCUGUUGAGACCGUUGGCUCCACACUUUCAUCAGCAGAGGACCACACGCUGGAUGGACGGCUUGAAACAACAAAAUUCUCGCACGUCUGAAAUCAGGGUGUCUCGGGGCCGACCCCGGGGCGGGGUCCUCCCCAUCUCUCCCAGCUCCUGGCGGUGAAUCUUGGUGUCCCCAGGCCGACAGCUGCCCCUCCGUCUCUGCCCCCGUGUCACACGGCCUUCCUCCCUGUGCCUCUGCUCUGUCCUCUUAGAAGGACCGUCUCUGGGUUGGGGCCCACCCUGACCCAGGAGCAUCUCAUCUUUACUGACCACGUCUGCAGAGACCCUAUUUCCGAUAAGGUCUCACUCACAGGCUCCGGGGUGGACGUCUUUGGGGGACGCUCUCCAGCCCGGUACCAGGUGGGAACGGGCCGUAUGCUGACGUCGUCACGGUCUCAGGAUCGGUAUGCCCUCUACUGCCGAGCAGGCUGGGCCCGGGGGGCAGGUGUCAUGUCUGUGGCUCGCUCACGUUUCUUAACCUGUACUCUCUACCUGAGCCAGAAGCUCUGCAACAUGUGUUUCGGAGGCCAGAAUGCGCUAAUCCCGCUCAUCCUGCCUCAGGGGAGACUUCCAGAACCCUCUCCCUCGAUUGCUGCUUUGUGGUCCCAGUCCGCGGUGGAAAAUCAGUAAGGGGCCCCUCACCCGCUUCCCAGAUCCCUUUUCAAGGAGACCACGAGACCGCGGUACGGAAGCGAACCGUUUCGUUUCUAGAGAAUUCGGCGGCACUUAGUGAGUCACGCUGGCGUGCAGCCAGCGCCCCUCCCCGGUUGCGGAACGCUUUCGUUACCCGGAAGGCAACCCCGGGCUCGUCAAGCAGCGGCUUCCUGUUGCGCCCUCCCCCAGCCUUUGGCAACCACCCGCUUUCUGUCGCCAUGGAUUCACCUAUUCCAGAAAUCUGAGGCCUUUUGUGUCUCAGCGACGUGUGCAGGGUCUGCUGGCGUCAUGGCAGGUGUCAGAGUUCCGUGCCUUUCUCUGGCCGAACACCGUUCCGUGGUGCGGAUAGACCACAGAUUGUUGACCCACUCACUGCACGUCACGGACGGGCGUUGGGUGGUUUUCACCUCUCGGCGGUCGUGACGAAUGCUCGUGCGAACGUGCUCGUGCGUUUAUGGGUUUCCGUAUCUGUCUUCAGUUCUCCCGGGCACGUGUUCAGGAGUGGGAUUUCCGGGUCACGGGGCAAUUUUAUGUUUAGCUUUUUGAGGAAGCACCAAGCUGUUUUCCACGGUGACCGCGCCAUUCUACGUGCCCGCCAGAGCGCGCGAGGGCUCGUCUCUCCACAUCCUCGCACACGCCUGUUAUCAUCUGUCUUGACUCCGGUCCUUCUGUGAAGUCGUGUCUCAUUGUGGUUUGGAUGCUGUGGUUCCCGUCACGGCUCCACGCGGGCGUCCGAUCCCUCGUGCAAGCUGUUGUGGCCGUGUGGUCCUUACCGCUCUGGAGUCCCCAGGCCCCCUGCCGCCCCGGUUGCAAAAGGACAGACGGAGGUGUCUCCUACUUCAGUUUCCCAUAAUCACAUCCCCUCGCAACAAAGUGGUGAGCUUGGGAGACACCCAGGAGCCACCCUCAAGGCGCAGGCUCCUUACGAAAGACCAGACAAAGCCCGAUGGCAGAAAUGACACUUCUGUCCCCGCAAGGUCCCCCCAAUCCCUUAGCUCAAAGCGCGACCACGUUCUGGGUAAAAAAGAACCUAUAUUUAUUCUUAAGGCCCAGCCUGUCUUGCGUUUGCACUAUUUUCUCCCACGCUGGUCCACCAACGCCCGUGCUCUCCCGCCCCUGCAAACAACUCACACACGUGAACGCACAUCAGGAAAAGUCUCCAGAUCCCAAGACGGAUUCCAGCACUGUCUGUAAACCCCACUCUCCAGGCCCACUUUCAUCUUGUUUUCAUUCCUAAGAGGCGCCGGGGCGUUUGGUUUUCAUCACUGACCCCCCGAAGGCCCGGCCAGCUCCCUGCAGAGAGCGCAAGCGGCCGGGCUGGUGUCCCUUCCCAGAGCCUCAUUCCUUAGGUCUGGAAAGUUGGAGGCCCUUCUGCAUUGUGUGGUUUAUGUCAAAUGUCUGAGCACAUUCGAAGCAAACAGCCAGCUUCAUCCGCUGGGAGGUUCCAAGGCGUAACUUUAAUUAUCAAGCUCUCGAGGGUGGUGGCCGUCUCCGUAAGUCGCUGGAGAGAGACAGAAGCAGGUUCUCAAGCUGACGAAAAAGGGGGUGAAGACAAGAGCCUCGGACACGGACCAAGUACAAGGAGGGGGUGUCCUGGGUCCUGGAAGCACCCCACAUUGGCUUUUCCAAAGCUGCUGCCCGAGCCAGGCACGCCACCGGUUUCCAUCUGAAAGGUGUCCUCUUGGCCAUCGGCAGCUUUGAGAGCCUUCUGAUGGGACAGACGGGUCCCAGGCUCUCCCUGGCAGAGGUGGAGGGAAGGUACCGGAUACCCAGGUCAGAGUGAACGCUUAUCACCUGUACAUUGGAGAGACAAACCCAGGGCAAGCGUGUUAGAUGCGCUAAGACAGAGCCCUGGAAAAGUACCCCAAUACCGGCCCUAGCAAGACUGGGUCGCUACCAGCACCCCUAAAAGCAGAGAAACGCCGUGGGGCCUCACGCCCCGGCCGAGAGCUGUGCUCUUGGGUGAGGCUUGAAGCCUCGUCAAGCUCGCUUAAAAUUCAGGUUUCUCAAAGGCGGUUCAGCGAUUCCAGAGCAGGCAUCGGGCUCCCCACGUGUGAGCGCGGUGCCCUGUGCCCGAUGCCACAGUUGCUGCCUUGUGGAUCGAACCACCGAUGCCAGAGGUCGCGGGAUCUUAGAGGUCAUCAGGUUAAUUUACUUUGUAAAUAGGGAAACCGAGGCACGGAGUGGCGGGGCGCCUCUCCCAAGGGCACUGAGCUGACCUGUGCGGGGCUGGUCCGAGGGCUCGGGUGACCGCUCCUGCCGUGCCAGGCGGGCGCUGGGGUCUACGGCACCUUCUCCCCCACGUCGGAGCGGGGGUUCACCUUGAGAGGAAAAGGUCCCGGGUUUCCCGUCUGACUUGCUCGCGUCUGAGAAUCUCUUCUCACCGGCUUGUCGAGAGAGGGCCUCAUGCCAUGCUGCGGGAUCCGCGGCCCGCGUGGCGGUCCCCACUGUGCCACCGGCAUCAGCUCCGCUGGGCCCGGGAGAGACUUUGAUGCCAGGUGCUACGGACUGUCCACAAUGCGGGAGCUCCCGGGCUCUGGUAUUGAACUUGGCCCAAGUUCCUAACGCACUGUGUACCACUCAGAGCUCGACCGGAGACACAGAACCAGGAACCUGUGGUGUGUGCGUGUCUGUGUGCGUGUGUGUGUGUGUCUAGAUUUGUCGCAAGGAGCAGGCUCACGUGACCGAGGGGGCUGGCGAGGCAAGCCUGAGGUUGCAGGAACAGCUGUUAGGAAGGGUGCUGGCCAAAGCUACAGGCGGGGGUCUUCCUUCUGCAGGGAAACCUCAGCUCUGCUCUUCAGACUUUCAACUGAUUGGACGAGGCCCCCCCAGAUAGCCCAGCAUCGUCUCCUUCCGUAAAGCCAGCCGAUGAUGAACUUUUAUCCCAUCCGUAAAAUACCUUCCCAGCAGCACCUAGGUUAGCGUCGGAAAGGGUAACUCGGGGACUGUAGGGGCACCACGAGGACACAGAAGGCUGACCCCUGCGCGCUCUGCCCCUGCAGAACGAGCCCCUUUGUACUGACCAGUCCUUGAAACUCGAGUUUGCCAACCCCCCCUCAGAGCUGAGCCGCAAAAACAGCGACCUCACCAUGCUGCUGCUGACUUGUUGACAAGCAGGAAUCGGGACCCAGUCCCUACACGCUCCAUUUGAACCCGCCACGUCUCCUUUCAGUUUGCCAGCUCAGGAGGCCCUGUCCCUCAGGGCUUGGCCAGCAGUGAGCCAGGACCCGGAAAGGAGCCCAAACCAUCAAACCCCAUAGAAGGGUGUGGCCUUGACUCUGGGGCAUGGGGUCGUUGCGUUUGGAUCGGCCCUGUCUUCAGGGCUACAGAAAACCCAACCCAUGCUUCUUUAAGCCUAAAGGACUGGGAUUUCUUUUGCACAGGACCCAGAGCCCCCGGGGCAGAUGGGGCUCAGGAUACCUGGGACAUUCCAGAAUGCUGUCAGGACUGUCUCCAUUUUCACUCCUGCUCUGUUCACCUGGUCCACUGCUCUCUUCCUCUGGAGCCUCCUGAACCCCCCGGGUUAUGAUUUAACACCCCCCGGGAGAGGGUGUGUCAGCUCUUUCUGAACCCCCAAGUUCAAGACCCUGGGGUGAACCCCCAAGUUCAAGACCCUGGGCAAGCAGCAGCGAGUGCCAUUUCUAGCUUGGCCAACCAUGACCGUGGGGGUGGUGGAGAGACGUCCUGCCUGGAAAGGACACAGGGUGGUGUGGCCAGCAGACUGGGUGGCCACCCUGAGCCCUUCCCACCGGACAGUAUGGUGACCGUCCCCCAGUCCCCCAGGCGAGUGGGGGUGGGGGUGGGAGGAUGGGCCAGAUGGUUGCAGGCCUCAGAACCCCUGCCUGCCUGGCUGCCCGCUCCCCUAUAGCUCUGCACACGGCAUCCCACGCUCUGGAUCUUCCUUGAUUUAAACUUGUAUCUUAGAAAUGGACUUUUCCUGGGGCGCCUGGGUGGCUCAGCCGGUUAAGCGUCCCGACUCUUGAUUCGGCUCAGGUCAUGAUCUCACAGUUCGUGAGUUUGAACCUGGAAUUGGGCUCCGUGACGGCAGUGCAGAGCCUGCUUGGGAUUCUCUCUCUCUCUCUCUCUCUCUCUCUCUCUCUCUGCCUCUCCCCUGCUCAUGCUCUGUCUCUGCCUCUCUCUUUCAAGAUAAAUAAAUAAACUUAAAAACAAUGUGUUUUUCCUCUGUCCCAGGUCUUUAGGCCUCUUUCAUUUGCCAGCCUCGUGCUUCUCAAACUACCUGUGGCACAGGACCUAUUUUUUGGUUUUAUUUCGCUUUUAAAGUCCAAUCUGUUACAGGACUAACAAUUUCGUAAAAUGCAAUAACGCUGAACUGUCGGAAAAACGACCGUGCACCUAGAUGCCUUGGGGAGGGCAAGGUGUUAGCAGAGUUUGUGAACGCUGGCUCUCAGCCCCGUGCCCGGUGUGGGCCCAGAGCAGUCAGGUCUCCACCUAUUCCUGAGCAUGGGCUCUAAAUGCCAGGUGAUUAACCGAGGAGUCCAGCGAAAUCUUCCCCAAGCCAAGCGCUUACCCGGCACUGUUUCAGCUCACGGAACUCUACAUUUAAUGUGGGAAGACAGGCAGUAAAUAAACGUGACAAAUGAGUACAUAACGGCAGUUCGUUGGAAGGUGAUGUGUUCUUGCGGGAACAGUGGGGCGCGGGAGAGAAGGGGGGUUGAGCUGGUUGGGUUUUCCCCUUGGGAAGGGGGAUUGCAGUUUUAAACAGGGGAGUCUGGAUGACAAGUGGUGAUGUAAACCAACCAGAGAAGGCUGUGCAGGGCCGUCCCCAUCAGUGAACACGUUUGCGUUUCAAUAGGGACAUUCUCACGAUCAAAGGAGAAUCGAGGCCCCCGUUGACACGCGCUAUCUUCGGGGCAGGUGCAGGGGAAGAGCAGGGCGGGUCUGGAGGAAGGUAGCGGCAGACGGACCAGGGCAAGAGCAGAAGACGACCGAAAAGGCAGCCUCAAGGACGCCAGUCCUCACCGCCCGCCGAGCUCAAGAGGAGGGAGGGCCCGCCAACCCAGCGGGAGGCAGGCCAGUCCGGUGACCUAACGACGGAGCAGACGACCCGGAAGUCUCCCGUCUUGGUGCGGUCAGCAGGUUCUUCAGCAACCGGAAUGUUCCCGUUGGCAUUCCCACCACCACCGCCCCUCCCCCCGGGACUCGGUGUUCCACCGGGAAAGAAAAGAACAGAAUUAAGGAAUGUGCCCAGAAGCCUCAAAAUAGUAUCAAGGAUGCCCAAGAGCUGCUUCGAAAUUAGAGAUUUUGUAGUUUGUUUUCGCUUUCGGGGCGAAAAAAGAUUCCACGAGAACCUGCGCGUUUAUUGUUCCGUUCGGCAAAACAAAGAGCGGAGACGGGUGAUGCCAGGUAAGACCCGUUCCCUGCACCAGGCCUGUUCCCGAAGCCUUACAAAUGUCUCUCUUCACCCUCACGACUCCCCUCGGUUGGGGGCGCUUUUAUCAUCCCGCGUCUCGAACUGACGUGUCGAGAGGCUGGAUGCCAAGGUUGUUGAAACCCUGGCGAUUUGCCUCCGCGUCUGGGCUCCUACCCACUCGGCCAUCCUGCCUCAGAAGCACCCUACGCCCCCCUCUGCAAGUUGGGGGAUGCUUUCCCAGGCGGAGGGAGCGCCCAGAGCCCCUCACGGUACUGUGACACCCCUACCCGGGCAGGUCCAGCUCCAUCUCUCGGAGACAGAGGACCCGAGACAGCCCCAUUGCCCAGGCUGGGCUCCUGAAGCCGGGGGCCGCAGCUGAACUAUUUAGAAAGUCUCCUGCCAGUUUUCCCAAGGCAGCCUGAGACCACACCGUGAGGACGGACACCCCCCACCGCCGAGUUCUCUUGACUGAAGAAGGGGCCAGUGGAUUCCAGAACCACAGGAGGUGUUUCUUGCGCCAACUCUGUUCCAAGGAUGUGCCAGGCGCUGGGGAUUCGAGAGCGAGCGAAACACGCCAGGGCUCUGUCCCCGUGAGCCCGUCUCCUCGCUGGGCCUCAGCCCUGCAGCCUUCCAGACCCCAGUGGGCUCUUUCCCGUGUCCGGUGGAGGAGAAGGGCUCCGGGAGAGCAUCCCUGGCGGGGUGGCGCCCCCCUGUGUUGGGCGGGGAUGAGCCCGGCCGCUGCCUCCUGGCCUCUCUGGGCUGCGACAGGUGUAGGCGUCCCCAGGCUGGGGACGGCUUCUCCAUCCUGGUGGCUCUGUGAAGGAGACAAUGGUCACAACCGGCCCGCGGGACGCCUGCCUGAGGGAGUGCAGACAGAAGGACAGACGGGCCCCGACAGGAGCCUCCCAUUUGUCCGCCAGCGGCAGGCACAUCCUUGCUCUGUUGUAAACUCCCUGAGCCCCGGAGACAAGUCCCGGCAGCCGCCAGCAAGGGACCUCACAGGAGGCAGCCCCCCGUGCGCCUCUUGGACAAACAACCGCGAGUGGGUGCAGCGGCUACAAACCCCACUCUGCAAACCGGAGGGGACAUCUGAUUUGCAAGUGCAAGUGUCCCCGCCCCCCGGGGACAGUUAGCGGUGCUGAGCUCACAGCCGCCCCUCCUGUUCCCUCCCAGGCGUCUUUCCGCACAAGGCCCGUGGGGAUCCCGCCCGACCUGCGCGCUGUGCCUUCCUCACCGAGCCCCUGACCCACGGAGGCCGCGCGUGACCGUGGCAGGUGCCUGGGCUGUGCCGGCUACUUUUCAGGGUUAGAAAUGCCUCAUUUUCGGGGAUUAAGAGGCGCAAAGGUCUCAACUGUGAGACAGCGGCUCGUCCUCUGUUUGGUUUUCCAGUGGUCGCUCUAAAAUCCACUCUAGGGGCGCCCGGGGGGCUCCGUGGAUUAAGCGUCUGACUCCGGCUCAGGUCAUGAUCUCGCGGU